AUGUACACUGCAGAGCGAGGGAGGGGCGCUGAAGGUGGCGGGAGGCAGUGGCCAUGGUGGUUGCUGUGGCCUGGUCACUUCAGUUAUGUCAGGAACACCCUACAUGCUUGGAGGUAUGUGUUCUCGAGGCCUUCACUGGUUUGCCAUACUGAUGAAGUAUAUUUUAAUGGCUACCGUACAAAGUAUGAAGGAGAAGCAAUGGAGACUUCAUCCAUGAUAUGCAAAGAACAUGAAGGUGGACAAGCAACGUUCUUAGUCACUACCUUUCUCUGUGCGGAGGUACCACAUGUUUGCCACACCAUUUCCCAUGCAGCGACGGACACGCAUUUUACUCCAUCUUUCUUUUGUUUGUACUAAAGCUUUUCCUUCAUAAUCUGUUUUCAAAUCUGUUCAUGUUUUGAAUGUACAAUUGUAGAAUUUGAGUUAGGGGGAAAAAGAAAAAGAAGUAAAGGUCAUAUUGAUUUUCUUUUAAAAGGAGGAGAAAGAACUGGCCAAUUUCAUGAAAAAAAUGAGGAAAGUGGACAAGUAUGAGAUAAACACAUCUCCACUGGGAAUUUCUAGUCAUUUUCAUGUCAGCUGACUGUGUCAUUCUACCAAAUGGAACUCACUGAAAUCGUAUAGUUCUAUAAUUAUAAAAUCGAUUUGGGGAAAGAAAAAAAGUGCUUUAAUUUCUGUUGCUUCAAGGGAUUAUCCAUUCAAAACAUUUUUCUGUCCAUUAUAAAUUGUAUUGGCAACUAAGCUAUAAGAAAUAAAGAUAGUAAAUGUCUAACACAUAUUCCUUUUUCUUACUAGUGUCCUCUUUUCAUAGCAAACCCAUCCCAGUUCCUUCAACACUUUCUCCUGUGACUUACCUUUCAGGACGCUGAUUCAUAGACUGUCAGUACAAGUGACAUUGUGCCGAUUCUGAACAAUUAAAAAUGGUAGUUGUUGUAAGCCAAUUUGUUUUGGGGUGGUUUGUCACAUAGGAAAGCUAAGUAAUAGAACAAAGAAAAUUCAGAUUUUGUCUUGUUCUAAAUAAUCACAUCAUACUGCGGGUUGUGUGCUGCUUAUCUUCUGACACAAGCAUUUCUAAAGAUUUUUAAUGGUACAGUCUUCUUAGUAAAAUAAUUUUGUAUGUGCACCCACAGACACAUAUCUACUAAAAUUAUAUAUAUGUACUGCUGCCAAUUACAUAUAUUAAAUAUCAGUGAAGCCUGACUUCUUUUUUUAAAAAAAAUAAAUAUAGUGGUUGUAGUAACUUUUUCCUCAUUCCGGUGGACCCUCAUGUGCCUUCCGGAUCAUAGUCUCUCCACUCAGGAUAACUGCUCUAAAACUCUCAAAUCUUUCCCAUAAUUAGCUUCAAAGCAUUAUUUCACCUAUUCUGAAUUUGUGAAAUUCAUUUUUUAAACUAAACUCAGAGCUUGAUUUAUUAUAGUUACUGAUUAUUGCAGAAUCCUUUAGGGAAUUAUACCUUGAUCUUUUCUAUUAACUGACUUUAAAUAAACUCCCUUUGGUAAAAACUGCCAUUCAUUUUUCUAGCAAGUGUACCGAAAGUAUAUACAGGUUUGUGGAGUGUCCUGCAUCACCAGUGUCUCUUGAUAUAUACGCACACACAAAAGACAGUGUGUGUCUGUGUAUAUAUACACACACACUAUUUUAACAAAAAGUAAUUAAAGAGAAUAAGUAUGCCUGUUCAAUGUCAAAAGAUUCACAGGGCCUCAAUAAUAGUGGCACUUUUAGCAGCUGUUUGUUGAAAAUCUAUAUAAUGACAAAAAGCUAUAAAUUCAGUAUUGAUUUUGAACAAAUAUGUUUAUUAAUUGCAGUGGCAUCUGAUUUUGAAUAGUAUUUGCAAACAAAUGUGGAAGACUCAUUUUUCAUGGAUGAACACUGAUUAGGGCUCGUAAUGGGGUCUUGGAGCCUUGUUUAACUUGAUAGUUAGAAAGCCACUGCUAUCACGAAUACAGAAGAUGCAAACCCCAUUCUUAUGUGCAUUAGCCAUGUGACCUGAGCAGGCUCUUAGUCUUGUCUCUGCGUCUUGGCAUUACUGCCGUAGUAAGUCACAAUCAUCCCAGUGGUGGCUUCCAUUUAUUGAGCUGCCACCAGGAAAGAGCUUUGCCCUUUACAACCCAGUGAACUUCACUCUUCAUAUAGAAGUCUCUUUUAACCAUCACAACUAUUGAGGUAGGAAAACAUCAUUUUCCCCAUUUUACAUUUUGGAAAAUGAGACUUAGAGAAAUUACAAAGUUUGCUCAAGUUAUAAGCUAAAUAAAGACAGAGCUGGGAUUUGAACUCUGGACCUGUGCGGUUCAGUUAAAUAGCCAUGAGCUACAUGUGGCUACUAAAAUUAAAAUUAAACACCAUAUUUUGAGCACUCGGUAGCCAUAUGCAGCUAAUAUGUUGCACAGCACAAAAAUAUCAUUACUGUAAGUUCCCCUGGACAGUCCUGAACUCUGCUGACCAACUGCAAAGCGUGUACUUCACUGGGUUUAAUUCUUGCUCACCCAUUCAUGCCUUUACUUGUUCAUUCAUUCAACAGAUACUUACUGAAUACCAACUCUGUGCCUGUCACCCCAUGGGACACUGGAGAAUUAUCUCACUGCAUUGUGGUCAAGAGCAAAUGAAAUGACAUGAAACAGUGUUUUAAGCUCUCAGGUUCUAGGUAAAAGUGAAAUACGUUUAUGCUGUAGUGGCUGGAGUGUAGGGAAAUGCUGCUUCAUUGCGAGCAGGGCCUGUGUUACCCUUCCUGCAGUCCUCUCUCAUCUCUCCGCCACCCCUGCCCACAUUUAGCGGGGUCCAGUGCCCAUCAGAAGUGAAUGCAAAGCUGUGAAUGACAGUGCACGUGGGUAGGUUUUUGCCUGCUCCCCUGAAUCCUUUUUCCUAAGCGUGAGGAGUUCCGCAGGCAGAUAAUGUGGGCCACAUGAACCAUGGCAGCCAGGGCAUGAAGUCCUCCCUCCACCAGUCAGAUGGUUCUGUUUGGGACUUUGGUACAGAUGACACGAAGAAGCUGAGGCAGCUUUAAUUAUUUCAGUGACUGCAGCACUGAUGUCCUGUUUCUAUGUGGUGGUCACUUUACUGGAAUUGUGACAGGUCAUCUGGAAACCAACUUUAUUUUUGCCCACUCCCUUAAGCUUCCUCCCUGGCAGUGUUUCUGAGUGACUUUCCCUCACUUUGUCACAACAAAGUGCUAUGGUUACUGAGUUGCAAAACACAGUCCCAGUUUAUUAAUCACGCUUUUAUAUUUAGGCAAAGGUAAAAAUUCUCCCACUCCCAGCCAGGGCUGUGAAGAGGGUGAGCUGCCUUCUCCCUCUCACCAUCACGUUCUCCCCACUGGCUACCUGCUAUUUUGGUUCCCUUUAGGGUUGGGCCAUGUGGAAAGAUAAGAGGAAUACAACAUUUCUUAACAGACUGGUUACGGUCAUAAACUGGCUUUUGCUUUUUGGGUCCAGCCAGUAUCUAAAGGUGGGCAUUUUUAUGGGUUCAUUCGCAGCUCUCCUGCAAACCCUUCUGACUCCCUCUCCCUUAGCAUGAUGGGACUCCACUAAUCCCUUGUAAGGUCCUCUUCAAGGACUGCCCCCCAGUCUUAGCCUCUCAUAUCUUUAAUGUGCUCAGUGUUCCCAGUUCUGGGUCACUUGCUUUGACCUUUCGGCCUGGUGGUCUACCGUACAUUUCAUUCUGACAUCUAAAACCGUUAUAGUCUGGUGCCUCAGUUGACACUUCUGGUCUGACUCAGAGGGAGCCAGGGCCAAUGGGUAAGAAGGCAAUUCAUCAGAUGGUUCUGUAGUUAUUGCUCCCUAGCCCC
ensembl:lncRNA